GUCCCGAUGGUCCAGCUGGCAGGGCGCCGCCUCGACACGGCGGAGAUCGGCGGUUCGAUUCCGUCUCGGGGCA
rnacentral:tRNA from 1 species